rnacentral:tRNA from 1 species
UCGGGGUGUAGCGCAGUUUGGUAGCGCACAUGGUUUGGGACCAUGGGGUCGAAGGUUCAAAUCCUUUCACCCCGACCAU